UACAGAGGGUGCGAGCGUUAAUCGGAAUUACUGGGCGUAAAGCGUGCGUAGGUGAUUCGUUAAGUCCGUUGUGAAAGCCCCGAGCUCAACUUGGGAAUUGCAGUGGAUACUGGCGAGCUGGAGUGCGGUAGAGGAAGGUGGAAUUCCCGGUGUAGCGGUGAAAUGCGUAGAGAUCGGGAGGAACACCAGUGGCGAAGGCGGCCUUCUGGACCAGCACUGACACUCAAGCACGAAAGCGUGGGGAGCAAACAGG
rnacentral:rRNA from 1 species